rnacentral:lncRNA from 1 species
GAGCAAAUGAUGUUAAUGCCCAUGUAGUUCCAACGUGAUUGCCAACGGCUACCUGCUGGUUUCAUACGUGACAAAAAGACAAAAAAACCAAAUUAAAACGACGUCGGCAUACAAUUCAUUUCUGGGCGUUCCUUUUACGAAAAUAAGAUUUUGGCAUUCAUGGCAUUAACUAAAAUUCACACAUCACAACAUUUAUUCAAGUGAUAAUUUACGUUUUCAUAUCGGCUUACAACAACAAUUUUGCAUUCGCCUUGUCAACGUACGGUGUGCACUAUGUAAUCUCGUAAUUGGGUCCAAGUCACAUUCUCGUCCGCAAUUGCAUCCUCUUCUGUUGCAGCUUCCUCUUCCUCAUCUGGUAACUCAACUUUAAAUUCUUUGUCAUCGACUUCCUUGGCCCUACAGAAGCCUUCGUCGAGUUGUUCGUUGCAUUGCAGAAAAUUAUGUACUCUCAUUGCUGCCACAACCACAGAUUUGUGCUUGAUAUGAAUAACUAGGCAUUCUAUCGAGAAUUUUCCACCUUUGCUUCCAGACUCCGAACACACGCUCAAUAAUAUUUCAACAUGAUGAGUGAUGAAAGUUCAAUAUUUCGCAUGCAUUUCAAAAUCGAUGUCUGCUGCUACCUUGAUUGUGAAAUUCUUGAAAGUUAUCACAUACAUUCGACCCUUUGUACGGUGCCAUGUAACCCGGCCUAUGUGCAAAUCAAGAGUCCAUCAAGUAGUACUUCUCAUUUGUCGGUUCCGAAAAAUGUAUGUCGAGAUUAUGCACAGCCCGGGCUAGUAUACGGCUAUCGUGCGUGGGUCCAAUGCUAUCGAACAAUACGAAUGUGAAGCACAAGUUGAAAUCGCAAGUGACCAAGACGUUCUAAGUGGGCACCCAUUUCGCCCUAUAAAGUUAAUCUGUUUACGUCCUGGCAACACUACCCGUACAUGGAUCAUGUCAAUAACACCAAUACAAUCCUGUGACAUCCAUUUCCAAUCAUAUCAAGUACUCAUUACAAAAGGACAAAAUAACUGUGUCCAUCGAGACAACUUGUAGCAACAUAAACAUAUUUGGAACAACGGAUAUUGCUUCGUAUCAGGGUGAUGAUAUGCAGCACCAUGGUUGUACUUUUCAUGAGGCCGUAUCAUGCCUGCUGCCAGCACACCGACGAUGUGAAGCACGCGCUUGAAGUAAUGGUCGUGGUCUGCAGCGAAUAUCCAAACAGCGUUUUCAUCUGUCGAUAUCCCUUCCGUGCGCCAGUAUGCACAAAAACAUACCGACCUGCUAAUAUAUAUCAAUGUUUGUACUAUUUUCCAAUCCAUAGUGGUUUCUAAGAACAUGUACAAAGUGUUUGAACAUUAGCGGAUACAUUAUGAACUCCUGAAAGCACGUUUGCAAAUACACAUGCAUAUUCUGCAACAUGAAAAUAUGGCCGCUUCGUGUGGUAGGAAAUAAGUAACGGUGGCCCCUCUCUGGGACGAGAUAUUGGCGCACCAUUCGCUCAGCGAUACGCAAUAUUGUAGCUACGACACCAUAUCCGCCUCCAGCUGCUGCAGUACGUCUUCAUCCGACCCGUUAUCUGAACAAGUAUUGGACACGAGGUCAAAAUCG